rnacentral:rRNA from 1 species
AUUGAACGCUGGCGGCAGGCCUAACACAUGCAAGUCGAGCGGUAGAGAGGUGCUUGCAUCUCUUGAGAGCGGCGGACGGGUGAGUAAUGCCUAGGAAUCUGCCUGGUAGUGGGGGACAACGUUUCGAAAGGAACGCUAAUACCGCAUACGUCCUACGGGAGAAAGCAGGGGACCUUCGGGCCUUGCGCUAUCAGAUGAGCCUAGGUCGGAUUAGCUAGUUGGUGAGGUAAUGGCUCACCAAGGCGACGAUCCGUAACUGGUCUGAGAGGAUGAUCAGUCACACUGGAACUGAGACACGGUCCAGACUCCUACGGGAGGCAGCAGUGGGGAAUAUUGGACAAUGGGCGAAAGCCUGAUCCAGCCAUGCCGCGUGUGUGAAGAAGGUCUUCGGAUUGUAAAGCACUUUAGUUAGGGAGGAAGGGUAGUAACCUAAUACG